rnacentral:rRNA from 1 species
CAGCCGCCGCGGGAAAACGUAGGGCGCAAGCGUUAUCCGGAAUUAUUGGGCGUAAAGAGCUCGUAGGCGGUUUGUCGCGUCUGCCGUGAAAGUCCGGGGCUCAACCCCGGAUCUGCGGUGGGUACGGGCAGACUAGAGUGAUGUAGGGGAGACUGGAAUUCCUGGUGUAGCGGUGAAAUGCGCAGAUAUCAGGAGGAACACCGAUGGCGAAGGCAGGUCUCUGGGCAUUAACUGACGCUGAGGAGCGAAAGCAUGGGGAGCGAACAGGAUUAGAUACCCGUGUAGUCCCUGUCUCUUAUAC